rnacentral:rRNA from 1 species
UAAAGGCUUGGUCCUGACUUUUCUAUUGACUCUAGCCCGAUUUACACAUGCAAGUAUCCGCACCCCCGUGAGAAUGCCCCACUGCUUCCAUUAAUAAAGGAAGCAAGGAGCUGGUAUCAGGCACAGCACCCGCUGGCCCAAGACACCUUGUUUAGCCACACCCCCAAGGGACCUCAGCAGUGAUAGACAUUAAGCUAUAAGUGAAAACUUGACUUACUUAGGGCUAAGAGGGCCGGUAAAACUCGUGCCAGCCACCGCGGUUAUACGAGAGGCCCAAGCCAAUAGACAUCGGCGUAAAACGUGGUUAGGAGGACUCAGCAAUUAAAGCCGAACGGGCCCAGAACUGUUAAAUGUUUACGGGAGCCAGAAGAACAACAACGAAAGUGGCUUUACAACUUCUGAACCCACGAAAGCUAAGGCACAAACUGGGAUUAGAUACCCCACUAUGCCUAGCCCUAAACAUUGAUAAUCUUUACACUUUUAUCCGCCAGGGAAGUACGAGCAUUAGCUUAAAACCCAAAGGACUUGGCGGUGCUUUAGAACCCCCUAGAGGAGCCUGUUCUAUAACCGAUAUUCCACGUUGAACCUCACCUUUUCUUGUUAUUACCGCUUAUAUACCACCGUCGUCAGUUUAUCCCGUGAUGGUCUAUUAAUAGACAAAAUUGGCAUAGCCUAGGACGUCAGGUCGAGGUGUAGUGUACGAAAAGGGAAGAAAUGGGCUACAUUAUCUUCUUCAAAAGAUGCGAAUGACAGGAUGAAACACCUACCUAAAGAAGGAUUUAGAAGUAAGAGGGAA